rnacentral:lncRNA from 1 species
AUGCAGGUUUCUGCCCCUAUGGGCAGCUCUUUGAGAAACUUGGAUGGUCGAUAGAAGGGACUUUGUGUCAGGUUUUAUCAAGUUCACCUGGGUUUUGUUGUUGUUGCUUUUGUUUUUUUUUCUUGAGAUGGAGUCUCACUCUGUCUCCCAGGCUGGAGUGCAGUGGCGUGAUCUUGGCUCACCACAACCUCUGCCUCCCGAGGGUUCAAGUGGUUCUCCUGGUUCAGCCUCCUAAAUAGCUGGAGCUACAGGCGUGUGCCAUCAUGCCUGGCUAAUUUUUGUAUUUUUUUAGUAGCAACAGGGUUUUACCAUGUUGGUCAUGUUGGUCUCGAACUCCUGACCUCAAGUGAUCCACCCGCCUCGGCCUCCCAAACUGCUGGGAUUACAGGUGUGACCCACCACACCCAGCCAUUGUUUCCCCCUCGCCCCCUUCUUCUUCUUCUUUAUACUAGCCUUGCUAAAGCAAAGGCUCAAAAAAUUAGCUAAAAACUCAAAAACUCUCCACAGGAAUCUUUAGUAAAAGGUGAAAGAUUUAUAUGAUCUGAAGAGAAACCAGAGUAUCACCUGGUUUAUUUUUAUUAGUAGGGUUGAGGCGACUGACUAACCACUCCAAUAGAGGAGAGAAACAAGGGGCUGUAAACAGUGACCAGUCGUCACCAAGAAAGAAGUUUUGACUAGGAAACUUCUUAGGGAAGUUCCUAAGUCACCUCUUGGGGAGAGGUGAAUGAGAAAAGGGCAAAUGUCCUCUGCCUGCCCCUGGGUAGACAUGCAUCACUUUGGUCUUAGCUAUGGGAUGAACCCUGGGAAGGUUUGCGGUGAAGAUAGGUCUGUGACUUCAUCAACACAAACCCCACCCACUUUACCCCAUACAACAGUUAUCUUGUGUCCAAAUAUAGAAUAAAAGAUUGUAGAAGUACUGGAAAGUCAUUUAAAGAGAAGGAGGAAAAGAAAGGAGGUGUCUGCUUUCUUAGUCUUAGUCAUGUUUACCAUGACACUAGUCUGGAAAUGAAUCUUGGGGAAAAUCAAGGGAGGAGUCAUCCAUGUGUGUCUUUCGGGAGUAUUUAACUUAAUUGGCAAUUUGGAACAUAGGGAGAACACAGCUUACUCAUUCUGAAGCAACAAUAUGCUAUUUUUUCCUGAUUCAGACUUCUCAAGGUGAUGAGAGAGACAGGCUAGAACAACAAGUUUCAUCCCCUCUGUCUCAUUAAAAUUAUUAAAAUGAGACUGUAGAAACCGAGUGAGCAGGGCGUAGUGGCACAUGCCUGUAAUCCCAGCACUCUGGGAGGCCAAGGUUCCAGAGGAUCGCUUGAGGCAGGAGUUCAAGACAAGUGUAUUAGACCAUUUUCACACUGCUAUAAAGAAAUACUGGGUAAUUAUAAGGAAAGAGGUUUAGUAGACUCAGUUCUGCAUGGCUGGGGAGGCCUCAGGAAACUUACAAUCAUGAUGGAAGGGGAAGCAGGCACCUUCUUCACAAGGCAACAGGAGAGAGAGUGAGCAAGAUCAGGAAAAACUGCCGUAUAAAACUAUCAGAUCUCAUGAGAACUCACUCACUACCAUGAGAACAGCAUGGAGGAAACCACUCCCUUUAUCCAAUCACCACCCACCUGAUCCCUCCCUCGACAUUUGGGGGUUAUGGGGAUUACAAUUCAAGAUGAGAUUUUGGUGGAGACACAGAACCAAACCAUAUCAACCAGGCUGGGCAACAUGGCAAGCCCUUGUCUGUACAAAAAAAUACAAAAAUUAGCAGGGUGUGGUGGCACAUACCUGUGGUCCCAGCUACUCAGGAGGCUGGGGAUCACUUGCUUCUGGGAGGUAGAGGCUGCAGUGAGCCAUGGUUGAUUGCACCACUCUCCUCCAGCCUG